rfam:Gossypium raimondii Chr13_contig_442, whole genome shotgun sequence.
UGUUAAAAAUUUUAUUAAUUUUUACUUUUAAAAACUGCAGUGGCUGACAGAAUAACCAGAUAGUAAAAUGUGGUGCGCUACAUGUACCUUAUGUUGACGUACAAAAAUUAAUUUUUAAUAGUAGAAAUAGAUGAAAUUUUUAACU